AAUAUUAAUGUAGAUUCCAAAGAGGUAUACCAAGCAGAAACCAUUGGGAUUUCAUUUGGAUUCCCCAUUCACAGCAAAUAAGACCACAAAUCCUCUGAGUUGUAUCACUGCUGGCUAACCCUGCUAAGCCCACUCAGGCUGAGCUGAAAAUUCUCUGCUGGCUCAAAUGAGAAGAAUCGAGGGAACAAUUUCAAUGGGAUGGAGGAGAAAUUUGUUCAGUUUGCAGUUAAUGUGAGUCUACCCUUUUAAUACCUUUUAAUACAAACUUACCCAAUUAGCAUUUCCUGAGCCAAAAAUGUAAACCAAAAUGCAGCUAUUCUUCAAAGCUCACUCUUUUUGCAGUACAGUUCUUCAACCAGAAAUGCAUACAAAGAAGCAUAUAUUAGGUGAAAGUGUGCGGAACAAUGCACAUAUUAGUUCAAACAACAUAUAAAAAUGUAUUAUAUUAGGAGAAACUGCUUGCAAAAAUAAGUAUAUGAAGCAGAAUGUUACAACAAAAAUGUAGUUUUCGACAGGUUUCACAUUCCUUCCAAAUCACCAAGAUGCCCCCCCCCUUUUCCACCUGCAAAUAGGGCAACAAAACUAGUUUAUUUCUGUCACUGCUGUCAGUCUUCUGGCCAAUAAUGCCUCUCUUUGAGGAAGGACCCCAUUGGCCCUUUCUUGAGGUGAGGCAGGAACCUGGGAGAGGUGGCAAACCAAACCAAAAGGUUAGAGAAGGAGACGAAGACAAAUGGAGGUUUUUUGAGGUGGCAGAGGGAGAGAGGUCAGCGGAGAUAAAACGAGGACAUCGUAGCAGGGCCAUGUCCCUGAACAGGAGGCAUUUCAUAACAGCUCUGAAGAAAACACCUUUCCUACAACAUAGCAUGUCACUGAGGAGGCUAGGGCGCUCCAUUAACCCUGACAGAUUAGUUUUCUACAUGCAAGGUUUCUUUGUUAAUGUGGGGACCACUCAGAUAUGCAAUACUUUCUCUGCAGGGCUAGCCCAAGGCAAUUUGUUGCCGGAAUCAGAGCAGCAAAUGGCAUCCCUUCCCAAGUCACUUAGGACAGUUGUGGCAGAGAAAAGUGCCUGGCAAUUAAAACACGGCACUAAUACAAUUAAUAUCUAACAGCUUGCUGUAAAACACAGAAGCUGAGGCAGCCAAUUCAAAAGCUUUAGCCUGGGAGGUCUGGCAUCAGCAGGCAGAAUCUCUUCUCACUUACUGGGUCCUCAGAAGGGUCUGCCACCGAGAACUGCACUGCGUUCUCCUUAAGUCACUGUUCCAGCCUGGCAGCUGCAAGAUGGCUGAGUCAGGGAGCCACCAUUUUUAUUUCCCACAAUGCUCAUGAUGCACGGUUGCUCUGGGGCACAGCGAGGAAAUAAAAAUGGCAGCUGCUGUGGCCAUCAACACCAGAGACAAUCCCAGUGUAGGGGGCAUUUUGUUGAGGGGCCCCCUAACCCUGGUCCCAAUGCAGUGUGCAACUCCACACUGCAAUGCAAACAUGUACAGUGGUACCUCGGGUUAAGAACUUAAUUUGUUCUGGAGGUCCGUUCUUAACCUGAAACUGUUCUUAACCUGAGGUACCACUUUAGCUCAUGGGGCCUCCUCCUGCUGCUGCACUGCCGCCACAUGAUUUCUGUUCUCAUCCUGAAGUAAAGUUCUUAACCCGAGGUACUGUUUCUGGGUUAGCAGAGUCUGUAACCUGAAGCGUCUAUAACCUGAAGCAUCUGUAACCUGAGGUACCACUAUACAGAAGGUUUCUGUGUGACAUUGAAAUUACCUGGAAUAGACAUGAAUAUGUGGAAGGGUAGAAGGAUCUACUUGUGCUUCAGACACAGCUCUUCCCUUCAUAGGGGGAGGGAGCUGUGGGCUUGGCCAGUUCUCAGGGCUGUCUUAAGCAUUUGCGGUGCCGGGGUGCAAAGACCCCCCCCCCCCAGUUUGCCCAGUCCCAGGCAUGCAGGAGGGCGGAUCUGGCCGGCCACCUCAGUGUCUCACUAGCUCAGUCGCCCCCGAACUCGUGGCGCAGAGCCGCCUGCAGCAGAAGAGCCCGCCGUGGUGCCCCUUCCCCGGACUCAACUCUCGAGGCCACGGACUCUUGGCCUGGCACCCCUGGAAGUCCGGCGCCCGGGUGCCCCGCACCCCUAGCGCCUAUGGGUAAGACGGCCCUGCCAAUUCUGUUUGUCAGAGGGUGGGAGGUGUAGGAGAGACUAAAUCUCUCCCUGCCCACCACACACCAGCCCUAAACAGACCCCCCUUUCGACAACAGCUUUAGGCUGCCAGGAUCUCUGAAAGGGGGGUGUACCAAGCCGUGGCCAAUCCUCUUGAACUCUACCACCAUCCUUCUGCGUCUGCAGUUUUGGCCUCGGUACACAGUAUGGGGGGUGUAAACCCCGUGCGAUUUGCUGAUUUGGUCAUCUCGGGAAAGAGGCUGUGUCAGUGUUUGAACUGAUCUGGUGCUGCUGUCAGCAGUCACAAGAUGGACACUGAUUACGCACAGAAUGUAAGCAUGUCAAGUCACCGACCCUGCUCUAGUAAACCUUGCUACUUGCUCUCAUUUGCCACGAGGGCAGGAAACCCACACUUUGACUGGGGGGAAAAGUGGAGUUUCCCUUUGUGCCAACCGUAGGUCCUACUAGAAGAUAGAAAGGAUUACUAGAGAAAGAAAGAAAACCUCCUGCUGCCUAUUCAUGAUUUUCACUUAGGAAGUCAUGCAAUCCAUGAAAAUCAUCAAAGAAGCUGAAUGGAAGGCUUGCCCUCCCUUCCCUCAUGUUAUUUUUUUAGAUUGUGAGCUUAUGGGCUAUACAUUUUAUGCAUUUUAGAAUGCUUCUGUAAAUAAAUGUGUACAGUGGUACCUCGGGUUAAGUACUUAAUUCGUUCUGUUCUCACCCUGAAGCAAAGUUCUUAACCCGAGGUAAUAUUUCUGGGUUAGCGGAGUCUGUAACCUGAAGCGUAUGUAACCUGAAGCAUAUGUAACCUGAGGUAUUACUGUAUCCUGAAACAUUUCACAGAUGAAAGUGGGGACAUUCUGGCACACUUAGGUUCUUGCAUACCCUGCAAGUGUCCCGGAAGAACCAGGACAACCCGUAUUUUCCCCAUGAGAGCACGGCAGCCAUUUUGGGUGCCAUGAUAUUACACAAUUACAAACCAAGAUGUUGGUGCUUUUUUCAGGACUGCAAUCUCGUGCAGUGCCCCGAAACAUGUGCUGGGGCACCGUGAGAGUACAGCCCCAAAGAAAGCUUUUUUUUUUUUGCUCUGUGAUCUUGUGUGGGUUUCAUGACUUGCUUAGGAGCACGGACAGGAAGACACACGUCCUGGUUUGGGGAUGCAACAUGUUGGAGGGUAUGUAUCUUGUACCAGGGCUCACAUGCUGAGCUGUUGUAUCAUUUCCCCUGCUCUUGAUCCUCUUUGUGACUUUUUUUUUGGUCCCCUGAUGCAAAAUCCAAACUUUACAAGACUUUGGCAAUGUGAAACAGGAUAGUGUUUCUUAGUAUCUGUGCCAUUAAUGGAACAAUGUGACUUUGCCGAUUGCUCCAUGGAUAUUCUCUCUGACAAUUAACCCAGGCAUCAAAGCAUUACAGCGAUACAAAGCAUUACAUAACAGAUCUUCCAUCUUCAUUUUAUUUUUUUUUAAUAAAAAUGCUUUUUUUUUAAGGUUGCGUUUCACAAUAGCACAACCCAAGGCAUGUUGUUAAUAGGCCAGCACUGCAAUUUGCCUGGCAUGUACUGUUGCCUAAUUAUUUAUAUUGCUAAUUAUAAACAGGGAUAAUCUAACAUAAUCUCAUGAGAAUCAAGAUUUAAGAAACACCCUGCGCUAAAUCACAAGGAAGAAAAAACACUGGAUUCAAAGAGGGUAGGAAAAACAAACAAAAAACACUUCCUACAAAUCCUUUCAGUGCACUGGAAUUUCUAUCUAGAAGGGCUGCAGUCUGGGCUGUUUUGCCACUAGAGAGCUGUCUAAUGCAACUGAACUAAAAUUUUGUGACGGAGCAACAGAACACAAUAAUAUCCACACCAUAUAGCCCUUUAGGGACUGUACCAUGUCAGAAUGUAAGUAGGGGAUUGCAGAAUUAAUGCUCUUUGCAAUCUGCCCCCUCAAGCCAUUGUAAGAGGAAAAUCAUACAGCAAUGAAAGGGGUUUCACAACCUUCCAUUUACCCCCAAUGCGCAGGGUGCAUGUUUAUACAUGUGCACAUCCCACACCCACUUGCCCACCCACACAUGUGCUUUGCAAUGCGCCAAAGGUAACAAUGUUUUUCUUAUGGAACUUAGAUUUAUAACCACCGAUCCAGUGUGGUGUAAUGGUUAGAUUGUCAGACUAGAACCCGGGGGACCAUGGUUCAAAUCCCCACCCAGAUAUAAAGUUCACUGGGUGACCGUUGAAGCAGCCACCAACUCUCAGCCUUGCCUACCUCACAGGGAUGCUGUGAGUGAUAAAACGGGGAGGGGGACAACCAUGCAAGCCACUUCGAGAACCUUGGAGGAAAAGUGAGAUGGGAAUAUAGCAAUGGCAGCAAUAAUAAGAGAGCCCAACGUAGGGAAGGCAACAUCAAGUGCUUUUUGUUAGUGCUGCAGCUAUACCAUUUGCUAUGACAGGAGGAUGCUAUAAACUGUACCCUAAGUGGAUUCUUUGAAUCUGUUAGGAAUUUUGUACAAAGCUGUGCAUUUAAAAGUGAACCCACCUAUUUAGCGUUUUCCAAAACAAUAUGCAAACCAAUACUUAGCCAUCUUUCAAACUUUCUCCUGUUUUGAAUUUUACAGGGCAGCAAUGUGUACGAAAAUACAUAAAACACACCGAUUUCACAAAAAUAGCACACAAAAUGCACUACAUAUGGGGAAAUGGUUUUGCGAAAAUGUUUACAGUCGUACCUUGGAAGUCGAAUGGAAUCCAUUCUCGAAGUCCGUUCGACUUCCACAACGUUUAAAAACCAAAGCUCCUGCAGCCAAUCGGAAGCUGCGGAAGCCCCGCCAGAUGUUCAGCUUCCAAAAAUAGUUCGUAAACCAGAACAGUCACUUCCAGGUUUGUGGCAUUUGGGAGCCAAAACAUUUGGGAACUAAGCUGUCCAAAAACCUAGGUACGACUGUAUAUUAGGCAAAAUUGAUUUGCAAAAAUGUGUAUCUUAGGAUGAAUUCUCACUAAAAUGCUGAAUAAUUUUCAUAAGGAUUUUUUAAAAAAUGCUUGUCCCUUCUUUGUUGGAUGUUAACCUUGGGAGAGUUGAAAGUAAAGUGAGUUUACUAUGACAAAAAAAACCUGGAUGUCUUCUCCAUCAGCCCACCACUUUCCACCUUUAUUGGCAGCAAUGAGGUCCAGAAUGGCAUUAGGGUGUGGGGUAUCUUUGAAUCUCUGUCAUGUGAAACAUGUUCAUCUGGCGGGCUUAUAUUCCAAAGCAGAGAAAAAGAACUAUGGCCCCUAAAAUGUACCACUUGUCCCAAGUUUUGCAAUUUCCUGCACCUUUCAUCAUCGGCAGACUUUGGUAAUAUGGUGCCCUGACACUGCUGGGAGAUCAGCAACAACAACCUCCCAAGUGCUUUGCCCUCUGCCAGUCCCCUCUGCUGCCUGAUGGGCCCCUAAAACUGCUGCCUGGGGUGUGGUGGAGGAUGUAAGCCUGUCACUGGUCUGUCUCGUCACCGGUGUCGAAGUAAGUUUCAACUGCCACUGCAGUUGGCUUCUGUAUAUGGAAUGGAGGGUUCACCACCAUCUUGCCCAGGCUUCUUCAAACUCGGCCCUCCAGUUGUUUUGGAACUACAACUCCCAUGAUCCCUAGCUAACAGGACCGGUGGCCAGGGAUGAUGGGAAUUGUAGUCCCAAAACAUCUGGAGGGCCAAGUUUGCCUAUCUUGUACUUUGCCUCUGGCAGCAAAAAAACUUGGGGGAAAUACUAGCAGGAAUAAGUCAAAUUAAAGGUGGUUGGCCCCUUUCCCCAGGACCAAGACUAGAUUGGCUUCAUUAUUAGCAGGUGUGAUAGUUCCAGCUGGCCACAAGAGACUCACCUCGUGCUACACCUUAGCUUUUUCUCUAAGCAGCUCCCAAGAGCCACCUGAGAAUCGGUACGGAAUGAGCUAGGAGACACAGGGCUGUGUCAAGUACCACUGAGGUUGCGGGGAGCUGAAAAUCAUAAGGAUGAGGAAGAGGAAGAGGGAAAAGCCCCAAAUACCUUCCCACAAGCCACCCGAAGAACUUGUCUCGCAAGACUUGAAGUGUUUGUUGUUUCCCUCAGGUCUACCCUUGGCACACAUACAACAAUCUGGGACUGCCACGGACCACAAGGGGGCUGAAACAUUAUGGUGGGGGAGAGGAAUGACUCUUGUAUCGCAAAAACUCCUUGGAGGUGUAUGUGUUUUAUGGCUACCAAGCACAAAAUGAGCACUUGUGCUAUGUGCCUCCAAAUGGAGCUGCUCAAAAAAUAAGAUUAAAACACAUUUAAUCAUGUUUUUUUUUUUAAUGUAAACACACACACACACACACAACUUCUACAUUGCAAUUCCAUGCAUGUCUAAUCAGAAGUACGGCCCAUUGCAACAGAGCACACUGCUGGGUAAAUGUGCCUUAAUGGGCUAACAUGUAUAAGAAUAAUCAGGCACCAUAUUUAAAAAUGUCUGUUUACUUAUGAAGAGAUAUUUUAAUCUCAUGGAGAAAAGAAUGCCUCUUACUUUCAGAUGAUGCCUGUCAUAUACAGGCUAAAAACAAAGGAAACAUGCUUCAGAAUGAUUGGUUCUACCUGUAUGCAAAUUUACGCAAAGUCAAUGGAUAUAUUAAGCAGCUAAAACUCAUAUAAUUCAUUGACUUAUCUGGCUGCUAUCCUAUGCUUGUUUGCCUGUGAGUAAGGGCAAUGGGUCUUAUUUCUGAGCAGCUGUGCCUCAAAUUAGGUGCCAGAGUUAUUUAACUCAGCGACAACCUCACAUUAAAAAACUCCACCAUGGAUGGUAUUUAGUCUCCAUAAAAAGCAGAGACAUCACCUUGCCAACAAAGGUCCAUAUAGUUAAAGCUAUGGUUUUCCCAGUAGUGAUGUCUGGAAGUGAGAGCUGGACCAUAAAGAAGGCUGAUCACCAAAGAAUUGAUGCUUUUGAAUUAUGGUGCUGGAGGAGACUCUUGAGAGUCCCAUGGACUGCAAGAAGAUCAAACCUCUCCAUUCUGAAGGAAAUCAGCCCUGAGUGCUCAUUGGAAGGACAGAUCCUGAAGCUGAGGCUCCAAUACUUUGGUCACUUCAUGAGAAGAAGACUCCCUGGAAAAGACCCUGAUAUUGGGAAAGAUGGAGGGCACAAGGAGAAGGGGACGACAGAGGAUGAGAUGGUUGGACGGUGUUCUCGAAGCUACCAAUAUGAGUUUGACCAAACUGCGGGAGGCAGUGCUCUGGUCCAUGGGGUCAUGAAGAGUCGGACACGAUUAAACGACUAAACAACAACAGCAAUUUAGAGUAGUGGUCAUUUCCUGCUAACUGUCCAAUCCUAUGCAUAAUCACUCAGAAGCAAGUCUUUGUUCACUGAAGCUCACUCAAAGAAGAGUGCAUAGCAUUGCUGCCUAAAAGCCAAAUACUAAACUCUUCAAAUGUAUAAGUGGCCUUCAUAGCAGUCUAAGUAAAUGAGGGCUGGUGGAUGUGAUGUAGCUCAAUUUUCUGGAGUGAGGUGCUUAGUAUAACCAGAUAGGUAUAAGUUGUGAUUAGCAACAAGGUACCAAACAACGUUGUGCUAGAGCUGCAAACGACAAAAUGUGAGGCCUUAGGCGAUGGAUAUUGAGUGCUAUGCAAAUUAUUUAAUUUGUUAUAGUGCAUUGUUUUAACUGCAAGGGGACGAGUGUCUCCUAGGGAUGGGGGACAAACUCGAUUCAGCUUGCAUAUUAAUGCGGACAUAUCUAAUUCUCACCUACUGAAACAAUACGCAAACCAAAAUGCAACAAUCCUUUGAAAUUCACACUUCCCCGAAUUUUCAGGUGCAGCUCUACAACCAAAACAGGGCACAAAAUUGGGAAAGAAGUACUAAAAACUGCACACAAUAGUGAAAAUGCAUUCUACUAGGGUGUGUUUUAUUUGCAGAGGUGUGAACAUUAGGCAAAAUUGCAAACAGCAGUGUACAGAUUCGGAGAAAUUUGUACCAAAAUCCUGAUAAAUCUUUAUGAGGAUUUAAAAAUAAAUAAAUGCAAACUGAUGAAGAAAUGUGGAGAAGACCGGAGGAAUGAGAAACUGAGAGAAACCAAAAUUUACACAUCCAUCUUUUCUUAAUAUCUUCAUUUGGAUUUUCUAACUCGGAUGCUAACAUUUCUUGCACUGGCUCUGAACUGUGGGAAACGAAAAGGGGAGAAGCAAAGACGGUCCCCCUGACUCAUUGACAGUUGGUCACCAGCAGAGUGUCAUGGAACACGGCUGGUUUGACAGCUGGUCUGGAAGCUCUGUGAAGAAACAGGGGAUGCUGGGAAGUUUCAUGGGUUCCCACAUCUUCUCUGCUAGCUUUGAGCCUGGUUCUCAUUCUCUGACAGGGAUCUAUCACCUAGUUUGAUAGAGUCUGUGGACACUCUGGAGCUACAUUUUGAAAGAUCUGCUACGGGAGAAUCCAUAACCAGGAACACACUUACUUUCUCCAAGGAAACAAAGUAGGCGUUAUUGGGACAGUCAAAAAUGUUCUUCAGAGCUCACAGAAAAGUUUGUAGGAUGUGGAUUCUGUGGGUGCAUCAGAGCCAGUAGAAUGAAUGAAUAAAUAAAUCCUCACAUCUAUGGAGCAACACAGAUUGAAGUACCCAAUAAAUCAGGUUGUUGAUAUCUGAGUCUGGAUUAUCUACGAAUAUAUUUGCUUCCUUACUAGGCUGCUUUUCCUGGUUCUUCUGUAGGCAACCCUGGGAAGAAAAUGCCUUAAAAACCCCCAAUAUUUAUAAUAUUUAUUGAAAUAUACUCGGAGUCGAGAGUGGAUUUCAUGCUCUAUAUUCAGCUCAUAGUGGUGAGGAGGAAUUGAAGUUCCCCCAAAAUGUCUGCUUUAUAUACAUUAUUUACACAAUGGGCCCCACGUGAUUGGCUCAUUCCAGGAUUCUCCUGUAGGCCAAUCAGGUUGCGGAUUCACUUCCACCUGGAGCUGGAUUGGGUGGCUCCUGUGGACCAAUCAGACUGCUGCAUUCUGGACCCUAUUGUUCUAGGACCAAUCAGACUGCUGCAUUCUGGAUCCUAUUGUUCUAGGACCAAUCAGACUGCUGCAUUUUGGAUCCUAUUCAACUCAGUACAUAACAUUUAUGUAUUACAAUAUGCAUGUAUUUGUUACAAUAUUUAUGAAACAACAUUUAUCUGGGCAGUUUUCAAGCAUCAUCUGGGUUGUUUUGAGCUUUAAAAAGCUUAAUACUUCAGCACUGGAAGAGUAGAAUGUGCCACAGCAUAUCUAUAUUACAACUUGCAUUAGUUUGAUGCCAGUUGCAACCAUCAUGACUCCUCCCCCACAAAGCACCCUGGGAAUUGUGGAUUGGUGUGGAAUCUACAGCCGGAGGAAGCUCAUCUUCUAUCACAGGUGUGCGGAAUCUUCUUCAUCCUCAUUCCCUCAUGGAUAAUCUUCUGGGUUCAGUUGACUCAUUUACCAAGUAUACCAUCCAAAAUUUAUCUCUCACUUUGUUGAUAAAUACUGCCAUGUUUCACUUUACAUCUGCCGCCCACCUAACCAGGAACCUGUGUGGCUUUUCUUCUUCCAGAAUUCUAGGUGAAACCUAAUACUUGCAAGCAUCUGGAGGAGAGUCACCCACUUCGCGAUUUCCAUCUUCAGAUUGAGCCUAAAUGUAGGCCUUCAACCUUCAACACCCAGCCUAAUUUCCCCAACCUUUCCUCUGUGUAACAUGGAGCAUAAUUAUUAAUUAACUAAUUAAACUUAUAUCCUGAACUUCCUCCAAAAGGAGUCCAGGGCAGCAAACAACAAGUGAUAAAAUGGUCAAAACAUCUUUAAAACAAUUCCAAUAAAGAUGGAUAAUUGGGAAAAUCUAGACUUAAAAGGCUUGGUUGUUGUUGAGCUCUGAAUAACCCUAAAGUUACAUUAUGUUGCAAUGUUUGCAAAUAUAGACAUAUACACAUAAACACAUGCUUGUAUCCAAAGGAAUCACCCCCAUCGGGAUGUGGUUAUGAGGACUGUCACGGUACGCUCUUGCAUUUCAAAAUUUACCGCUACAUGACGGGUAGUUGCGACUGUUUAAUCUGCAUUUUCUGUGAAUAUUAUUUGCACUAUUUAUAGUUAACUCUAUGAGCGGCAAGCUGAUUUCUUCAUACAUUAUGAGUUGCCAGUUUACACAAAAGUCUGAUUUUUGCUGUGUUGUUCAACAGCUGACUUUCUUAUUCUUUUUUUAAAGAGAGAGAACAUUUCAGCCAACAAUGUAUAAUCAAGCCCAGUAAUUCUGUGUAAGAACAAAGCCUAUUAUGAGUUUCCCACCCACCAUAAUAACAGCUUAUAACAUGUGGGAAGUGGUCUCCCUAACCCCAAAAUUGCAUUAAAGAUUGUAUAGCAGUUUCAUUGGUUUCUGCAGAGCUUGAUCCUGCAGGAUGGAUGUUCAGCACUUUCUCGUUCAGAUCAAAGCAUUCUAGAGCUGCUUUGCAUCCAAAGGAGAAAACGUUAAUGACGUUUUGGAAUGAUGCCAAGCCAAUAUAGAUGGUCUUCAUAUUCCAAACCAUAGUCCUCUGGAGAUUUAGUGGGCUACAUUCCUUUUUAUUCUGCCUAUAAAGUUUCUCAGUUCUCACUUCGUCUUCUGCUGAUGUAGGUACUGAGGGAUCAUUCUCCUCUGUUUGUAUCUCAUGGGGCCCCUCCAGAUGGGUUUUUUAUGGCAGGUGUAUUCUGUGACAUGUUCUUGAAACAAUAAUAGUGUGUUAGUGGUAGGUUUAUUUUGCUUUACUUUGUUCUGUGAUGCUUCCUCGGUGCUGCCACAUAAUUGUUGUGUGGAAAGAUACAGUGCAACAGAAGUGGAACAACGCCCCACCCCCACCCCUGAACAUUUGUGGUAUAAAAAGUUAUGGGAUUUCAACAAGGAUGUGCACUGAUUGCCAAUGAAGCAGUGUGACUGCCCCAAAACAUUUGCAGGCAAAAGAGUACUGAAGGUGGAAUCAUAUGUAACCACCCCAAUAACAUCAAGAGCACAAAUCAUCAUGAAUGUGCAAUAAAAAGGAUGUCUUCAUAGGCCCAUAGUUUAAAAGAUCUGGUUUUGCACCAUUUGUGGGGUGUUGAUGUUGGUGGUGAUGAUCAUUCUGUCAAGGUUAAGCUGUCAGAGAAGUUGAAAGGCUAAGUUUUACCACCGGUGCAACUUUUCUGACUAAUGUAUGGAAAAGCACAUGAACCUGGCCUUUGAAGUGUUUGUAAGUAAACCAUUUUUUAACUUACCAGACCAAGUGGUCUUUUUCUACGCUAGGGAAACUUUGGAAGGAACUCGCAAGGGCACAUUUUAAAGGUCUAUCAGCCUAUGUUUUCAUGCUUUACUUUGCUGCAGUUUUUGUGAUUUUAAAUUUAUGCUUGGGUUCUCUCACCCAAGACUACUUGCCCCAAAACCUGGAUCAUGGGAUACAAGGAUUACUCCUUUUUAUAUGCUUAUUUUCACAUAUAACAGCAUUUACACCAUUCCCAAUAUGAAACAACACAAAACAAAAACAAACAAACACCCAGAUAUCAUACAGAUGACUAAAAUACAUGGCUUAUGAAAUGACCUAAAGAAAUAAAUUAGACUGCAGGGCUAAUUUUAAAUUUCCAGAUGGAUAUCUUGCUUAAUUAAAACUCAACUGAACCUUGGAGCUCUCACCUGACGUUAGGUUUGGUAACUGCUGUACUUGGGAACAUCAAUUUCGCGUUUGAUGCUAAAAGGUGUGUUGAACUCUGAAUGGCAAAAACUGGGUGGGGAGGUAGUGGGGGAUAUUUGAAGUGGAGAAGCAACAGAUUGUGUGGGGCAGGAGGGGGGUUGAGAAAGGGUUUAGCACUGGUUCCCCCCCCCAAGGGAAAACAAAUACAGUCAUACCUCGGGUUGAAGUAGCUUUGGGAUGAAUAUUUUCGGGUUGCACUCUGCAGCGACCCGGAACUAACGGAGCGCGCUACUUCUGGAUUUCACCGCUCAAAAUGACGUCACACACAUGCGCAGAAGCGGCUCUGGAACGGAUCCCGUUUGCAUCCAGAGGUACCACUGUAAUACUUAUCCACAUCUGUAUGCACAGUGUCCGCCAUUCUCACUCUGAUACCUGCAUUAACCUAGGCUCCCAUUGUUUACUUUUCCCCCACUGAACUGAGUGGUGAUGCAAUGCUUUCUCACACAUUUAAAACACAUAUUUCAGCUUUUCCUUGUCUUGUGACUGCUGCGUGAACUGGAUGACACACUUUCCCCCCCUCUUUUACUUUUUAAAAAUGGUCACUGUGGCAAUGAAAUGAUUUGCUCUUCUCCCUCCCAUCUCUUACAAGUGCAAAUUUGACAGAGAACAUGCUUGAUAUUCCUCAGUGGUGAGAUAAAGUGCCUCUCUAUUUAAAUUACAGUAAUUAUUUCAAAAUUUAUGCCUGGACAUAUAAAUUAGCAUGUGCAAAACUUAGACAAAUCUGUUUCCUACUCCCUCCUCUUUUUGGGGGGGGGCGGGGGCCUCUGUGUGUGAUGCAAAUGGUUACCUGAGAAAGUGGCCUGCCCUGAAGGUUGAAUCGAUCAGUCUGAGUCUGAUUAUGCACCUCUGCUCGACAGCUUUCACUCAUCCAGGGCAGACUGGGGAACAAAUAGAAUGUACCACGAAAUGCAUCAUUGCAUUUAAUGCUAUCAUGUUCUUUUUAAAAAGCAAAAACAGCUGCAGGUGGGGAGAAUCUACUGGUGUCAUAUGGGUAGAGGGCCUAACCUUUUCCUCUUCUGUUAUGGCCACAAUGAAACUGACCACCCAGUCUUGCCAGGCUGCAAUUUGCAUGGGGAGGAAAUGUGCUCUUGUGCUGAGGUAGGGUUGCUAUGCAGUGGCGUAGCGUGGGGGGUGCAGGGGGGGCUGGCCGCACCGGGCGCAACAUCUGGGGGGGGCGCGCUCGCACUCGCAGCUCUCUGCCCCUACCUGGCUCACUCACUCUCUCUCACUGCAGUGCUGGCUGUGCGAAUCCGAUCCGAGCCACUGGGUCGCCGCCCACUGUGGAGGGGUGGGUGCCAGGCGUGCGGUGCGGAGAGAGAGCGAGGGACUAUCUGGGGAGGGACAGUGCAGCGGCCGCCCAGCGCAGCGCUGAGCGCGGGGAGAACCACACCAGACCAGACCAGGCAGCAGCAAGAAGAAGCUGGCAGCGGCGGCAGGUUAGGGGUUAGGGGGCGCAAAUUACUUGCCUUGCCCCGGGUUAGGGGGCGCAAAUUACUUGCCUUGCCCCGGGUGCUGACAACCCACGCUACGCCGCCGUUGCUAUGCUUCUGGAACUUGCACAUAACCGGAAUACAGUCAUACCUCGGGUUAAAGUAGCUUCAGGUUGAGCGUUUUCAGGUUGCGUUCCGCAGCGACAAUGAACUGAGAUACAGAAUGUCUUCAAAUAGAGGGUUGUCCUCUUUGAUGUAGGACACAUAGCUACCCUUGUGGUCAAGGAGCAUGGGAGCUGCUAUGGAGGGCCAUAGGUUCCACAUCCCUGCUCAAAACAACAUUUAUUUUAAAAGUUAAGUUAUUGGGCAACUCAGCGUUAUUACCUCAAAACAAUAUUUCAGUGUUUUGGGGAAUAUUUGCUGCUGCUGCUGUUUGUUUCCAGCUUAAUGCUGCUGUGCGUAGAUGCUCAGCUGCUGUCCUUGCAUGGCUACAGUUCAUGCCUUGUGCUUUCUUGUAAUGUUCUCAUGUCUGCGCCUGAACCACAACUGCUUUUUCUUUCUUUCUGUUUAACACCAAGGACGUGCCAAAGGGCUGCACCGCUCUCAUUUCUUGCUUUUACUAGAGCUGAGCGUAACCUUCAAAAUGUUUGCCACUAGCUGACAGAAUAUAAGCUUUCUUGUUUGGCUACAGAAUCAGCAGUUUUGCUAAAAAGAGGAAAAAACCCUACACAAUGCAAGUUUGAAAUUCCAAAUGUUGCAGUGUUUUGUAGUAAGACUUUAAUGGCACAGCUACAUGCACAGACUACACGGAAAUCAUUGUAGGUGGGUUGUAAUGGACGAAACAGGUAGGGAAAUAACAAGACGAAAAAGGUUUCAACCCCCCCCCCAACAACCUCACAGUGUUUUGAGUCAGAUCUCUUACAAAAGCAGCCCAAGUAAGGCCAGGAUCCAGAAAGGCACGAGAAAGGGUUAACAUAAGCCUGAACUGUGGUGCACAUAAAAAAAUCUUGACAGCUUAAUUGCUGUGUUGACAGAGCUUGCUGUUUUGCAGCUGAUGGUAUUUUCCUCUUCAAAGUUUUGUACCGCAUUACAGAAGAGGCCCAGGCUCAGAGACACACCCUCUUAAUACACCUGCUGGCAGACAGGAUGUGUGUAGGUGGCUCAGUCAGAGAGGCCCCGGGAACAAAGAGUAACAGGUUGAAGAAAAACCAGGCAGAUACUCCCAAUUUAACAGCCCUUGAGAUUUUGGGGACAGGGAUCAAGCACAGUUUGAGAGCCAUCGAGAGUCAAGGCUAUGAACUGACCUCUUGUGACCAUCAAUUGCUGUUGCCAUAUCCUCCAACAUUUCUCUGAUGAAAAUAGGGACGUCCCAUUCCAUAAUGAUAUUUUUACUAAUUAUACUCCACACAUCUUACUGGGUUGCUCCAGCCACUCUGGGCAGCUGCCAACAUAUAUAAAAACAUAAUGAAACAUGAAACUUCCCUAUACAGGAUUGCCUUUAGAAGGCUCGGGGGUUGGAUAACUCCAUACCCUCCAACAUUUCUCUAAUGAGAAUAGAGACAUCCUAAGGAAAAGUGGGACAUUCCGGGAUCAAAUGAGAAACUGAGACAGCUUCUCUAAAUCAGGGAUGUCCCUGGAAAAUAGGGACACCUGGAAGGCUUGCUGUUGUAGACUUUAUAAAGCUAGGACAAGGACAUGGGAAGGAGGUUAGCUGCUCCCAAGAUUAGCCAGGAGGGCCUGAGUUCUCCCCUCAGGGAUGAUCAGACCCCUGCAAAAACAUGUUGCUGUUGUCAUGAACAAUUGAUAUUGAAGAGGGCAAAUGCAAGCUUUUUUCCUAGGGCUCCAGAACCACAUGUAUUUGCUGUGCCUUGGGAAGAGAGCUUAGUUGUGGAAUGAACAAGGAAUGAAUUAAUGCAUCUUGGAAUGUAGCUAAUAUUUGGGAUAUGAAUGGAAAAGACAAGCUGCAGAACUGUGCCAGACAAGGAAUCCCUGGGCUGACGUACGCAAACCAACCUGGCUGGGAUGGCACAUACCCCCCAACAAUUCUCCAAUGAAAACAGGGACAUCCUACCAUACCCUCCAACAUUUCUCUCUUGAAAAUAGGGACGUCCUAAAGAAAAGUGAGACAUUCCAGGAUCAAAUCAGAAACCGGGACUGCUUCUGUAAAUCUGGGACUGUCCCUGGAAAACAGGGACACCUGGAUGGUCUGGGAAAGUUAAGAGCAAAACCAUUAGCAGGCAAAGGUGUGGAUUGCUGGUCAUUAUCACAUCAAAGGAAGGGUCCUUGGGUCUGUGAAAAACAGGGGUUGCGAAAGUGAUGGGUGUGAUAUGACAGGGAAAAGUGUUUUUACAAGAGCCUUGGGUUUGGGGUCAGUGUUGGGAAGAAGAAGAACAAAGGCCAGAACCAUCUUGGCUGCUGGCUGGGGAGGCUGCAACCCAGAGACUGGGGGGAGCAUAGCUGCUCUGGACUCAAGAAGCCAGAAGAGACAGCCUAGAGAUAUAAUGCUCCUUGUAUAGAUCCAGGUGUAAAGGUAAAGGUAAAGGGACCCCUGACCAUUAGGUCCAGUCGUGGCUGACUCUGGGGUUGCAGCGCUCAUCUCGCUUUAUUGGCCGAGGGAGCCUGCGUACAGCUUCCGGGUCAUGUGGCCAGCAUGACUAAGCCACUUCUGGUGAACCAGAGCAGCGCACAGAAACGCCAUUUACCUUCCCGCCGGAGCGGUACCUAUUUAUCUACUUGCGCUUUGACAUGCUUUUGAACUGCUAGGUUGGCAGGAGCAGGGACCGAGCAACGGGAGCUCAACCCGUCGCGGGGAUUCAAACUGCCGACCUUCUGAUUGGCAAGUCCUAGGCUCUGUGGUUUAACCCACAGCGCCACCCGCGUCCUUGAGCCAGGUGCAGAUAUUUGCAAAAUAAACCAUAUAUCUUAAAGCACUACAGCCUUUACCAUGCCCUGAGUUCACAACUGGGUUCAGAAACUGGGUAAGCUGCCCGGCGCCACUAGACUCUUGCUACUGCUCAGGGCAGAUUUUGGGGUGCCGUGUAACAAUGCACAUGGCCCUCCAGAGGGACAGAACAAGGGGAGUAGAGGAUCUUUCACAUUUCCUCAUUGCUUACGUGCUUGGGGAAGGCAGCAGAAUAGGCAUCAACAGCCAAGUGCUGGAGGAAACGUUCAGUGACCGUGGGCUCCCACUGGAAUGCAGACAAGUGCCCAGCAAUGCUAUGCCUGGCCCCAGCCUGGGAGUCAGAGUUGAGGUUGAGAGUGAUGCAAAGAGACUGAGCUUCCUAGCCCUUCUACUGUUCUGUAACAUGUUUAAAUUGUGUCUUUUUAGUUUGGUUGUAAUCCUUAACUUUUCUUUGUUUGUUUUGUUUUUUAAUUUUUUUGUUAUAUACAAAAAGUUUACAUAGUACAGUGGUACCACGGGUUACAUACGCUUCAGGUUACAUACGCUAACCCAGAAAUAGUGCUUCAGGGUCAAGAACUUUGCUUCAGGAUGAGAACAGAAAUCGUGCUCCGGCGGCGAGGCGGCAGCAGGAGGCCCCCUUAGCUAAAGUGGUGCUUCAGGUUAUGAACAGUUUCAGGUUAAGAAUGGACCUCCGGAACAAAUUAAGUACUUAACCCAAGGUACCACUGUAUUACAUGUACAUUAUACUUGUAAAUUCACUUGUUGUUUAGUUGUAAUCCUUAACUUUUAAUUUAAUAUUGGACUGCUUCCCCCUCCCUCCCUUCCCCCCCUCUUUUACAGAAACAACAUUUCCAAGGUCCCUGAAUAACAGAAGACUGGCGUGGAAAAGAAAGGAUACUUCGUUCAACAUUGUGCAACAGUUCUUUACAUCAGUAUAAAAUGGGCUCUGACUUCAGGCUUCCUUUCCAUACCGGGUGUUCACCGCAAAUCCUCCCCUAUCUGCCGUC